CAGAGAAGGGAGAAGAUCAAGGAAAAUUAGGGGGGGUGGGGGUUAGAGCUUUAUACCAAAUCUCUGGCAAGGUUUCAAGGCCAAUAUGGUGAAGGAUGCUUGGAAGAAGAAGAAGAGGAUGAGUUUCUUCGGCAACAAUUCAAUGACCAAUGAUGGUGAGGUUCAAAGUAGAAGUCUUUAAAUAAAGUGGGAAGAGGAGCCGAGUCCUCCUCAACAUCGAUUUCCUUCAAGG
rnacentral:lncRNA from 1 species